GCAGGAAGGAAGUGGGUAUACAACAGACCAACGUUUGGAAAAUGCCAAGAUCAAUGCUCAGACAGAGGAGAAAGCGCUGCCGGGGCCAAUAACGGCUUGACCUGAAUACAUGCUGUCUGCAGUCACACUGUGGCAAGAAAGGAGAUCUGUAGCUCAGCUGGUAGAGCACGGCGCUUGUAACGCCAAGGUAGUGGGUUCGAACCCCGGGA